AAGGAAGCACACUUCGGUCAUAGAUUAAGCCAUGCAAGUCUCAGUUCAGGCAACGAAACUGCGUACAGCUCAUUAACACACUCAUUAUCUAAUUCACAACGACACUCGUCUAUAAGGAUAGCCGGAGUAAAACUCGUGCUAAUACUCGAAAGAGUACCUCAAGUUAAGAAAGAACAGAGGUAAAGUAAACCAAAGGGCAAGUGAAAAGAAAGAGUGGCCUAUCAGCUAGUACUUAGGAUCUUCACCUAGGUAGGCUAUAACGGGUAACGGGCGGUUACCGUCGGACUGCCGGAGAAGGAGCCUGAGAGACAGCUACUAUUCCUACGGGGAGCAGCAGGCGCGAAACUUACCCACUCGAUAAUAUCGGAGGUGGUAAUGACCAGUUCUAAUAUCGGGGACAACCCCAAUAUAGAUAGGAUAAUUUACUAAGAGAGUUAAGUAAUCUAGCAGAGGGCCAGUCUGGUGCCAGCAGCUGCGGUAAUUCCAGCUCUGCGAGUUUGCUCCCAUAUUGUUGCAGUUAAAACGCCCGUAGUCAAAACUCCCCACAAGGGGAAGAGGUUCUAACCGUCCACCGCGAAUAAAACAGAAUGCUUAGGAUAUUCUCUAAGAAUGAUAGAGCGCGGUCUGGAGUAUUUACCUUUCGGGGUAAGGUUAAAGAGAACGAGUGGUGCUGGUAGUAUUCCUUAGCGAGCGGUGGAAUGCGUUGACCUAAGGGAGACUAACAAAAGCGAAAGCAGCCAGCAAGUAGGUUUCUAUCGAUCAAGGGCGAGAGUAGGGGUAGCGAACCGGAUUAGAGACCCGGGUAGUCCCUACAGUAAACGAUGUCGACAAGGGAUUGGUCUAUUGAAUAGAUCAGUACCUUUCGAGAAAUCAUAGUUCAUGGACUCUGGGGGAACUACGAUCGCAAGACAGAAACUUGAAGGAAUUGACGGAAGGGCACACAAGGGGUGGAGCCUGCGGCUUAAUCUGACUCAACACGGAGAAACUUACCAGGACAAGAUGGCUAUGGUGAGCGACAAUCUAAAGGAUUUUCGGGAUAAGUCUUUGGGUGGUGCAUGGCCGUUGGUGGUGCGUGGGUUGACCUGUCAUGCAUUGAUUCAGAUAACGAGCGAGAUUAUCACCAAUUAAGUAAUAUAUAUCAGUUUACUGAAAAUAGUUAUUAAUUGGGACCGUCCGGAAAGUCACGGGAGGAAGGAGAUAGCAAUAACAGGUCCGUGAUGUCCUUUAGAUGCCCUGGGCUGCACGCGUGCUACAAUGGAGAUUUUAAAGUGUUGCGUACUCGAAAGAGGAAGCUACACACUAAUUAUCUGCGUAGUUGGGAUUGGGGUUUGUAAUCAACCACAUGAACUAGGAAUCCCUUGUAAGCGUGUGUCAACAUCGCACGCUGAAUAGGUCCCUGCCCUUUGUACACACCGCCCGUCGCUCCUACCGAUUGGAUGACCUGGUGAAAACAUCGGAGCCAAAUGGUGAAGGUGUUUAAAUCAUGUUAUCUAGAGGAAGGAGAAGUCGUAACAAGGUAACG
rnacentral:rRNA from 1 species